rnacentral:rRNA from 1 species
ACGUGGACAAUCUACCGUUGAGUGGGGAAUAACCAGGGGAAACUCGGGCUAAUUCCGCAUAAUUCCAUCGAUCCUUGGGUUGAUGGGGAAAGGGGGCCAAUUCUUGAAAGCUCCCGCUCUUCGAGGAGUCCGCGCCUGAUUAGCUAGUUGGUGGGGUAAUGGCCUACCAAGGCGACGAUCAGUAGCCGGCCUGAGAGGGCGAUCGGCCACACUGGAACUGAGACACGGUCCAGACUCCUACGGGAGGCAGCAGUGAGGAAUAUUGCACAAUGGGCGAAAGCCUGAUGCAGCAACGCCGCG